rnacentral:rRNA from 1 species
GCAUAUCCAUUAGCCGAGGAAAAGAAAAUACAAUGAUUCCCCUAGUAACGGCGAGUGAACAGGGAAAAGCUCAAAGUUGGAAACCUCCUGGUCCUAGAUUAGGCGGAUUGUAAACUAAAGCUCUUGGGUAGUACGGUUGGCCUGAUAAAAAAAGUUCUCUGGAAAGAGGCGACAUAGAGGGUGAUAUCCCCGUCUUUGGUCAGAGCUCAAUCAUGCGUUUGCCCUUUAGCGAAGAGUCAGGUUGUUUGGGAAUGCAGCCUAAAAUGGGAGGUAAAUCUCUCCUAAAGCUAAAUAUUGACGAAAGACCGAUAGCGAACAAGUACCGUGAGGGAAAGAUGAAAAGCACUUUGAAAAGAGGGUCAAAAAGUACGUGAAAUUGCUGAAAGGGAACCGUAUGAAAUCAGUCUGAUGUGUUGGUAAUCAAUCUGGAUCUCGAUCUGGAUGCACUUGCCGAUGUAUUAGCCUGCGACAGUUUGAUCUGGAGGAAAAAAGAUGGGAGAAUGUGGCCUUGGCUUCGGUUAAGGUGUUAUAGCUCCUGUCAAAAUACUUUGGAUUGGACUGAGGACUGCAGCGAGCCGCAAGGUAAAGGUCUCGGGCGCUUGUUCUGGCUAUGUAAGAAAUCUCUGCUUCGGGUGGUAUCUUGCCUAAUCGGGACAACACGCUUGUUUCUCUUUUUUCUCGCUUAGGUCGUAGGCAUAAUGAUUUUAUAUGACCCGUCUUGAAACACGGACCAAGGAGUCCACCAUUGCUGCAAGUCUUUGGGUGUAGAAACCCCGGGGCGGAAGGAAACUGACCAAGAUAUGAAGGCAUUUAGCUGGCAAUAUCAUCCGGCGAGGACGUUUUAUACUGAAUUGACCGAGAUUAAGCAUCAAUGAUGGGACCCGAAAGAUGGUGAACUAUACUUGAAUAGGGUGAAGCCAGAGGAAACUCUGGUGGAAGCUCGUAGCGAUUCUGACGUGCAAAUUCGAUCGUCAAAUUUGAGUAUAGGGGGCCGAAAGACUAAUCGAAACCAUCUAGUAGCUGGGUUCCUGCUGAG